UUUUUCCGAAUAAAAUUUGUACUCGAUUUUUAUUUGAAAAUAAGUUAGUUUUUUUUUAAAUAUUAGUUAUUUAAUUAAGUUAGUUAGUUUUUUUAAAUAUUAGUUAUUUAAUUAAGUUAGUUAGUUUUUUUUUAAUAUUAGUUAGUUUAAAUAUUAGUUAGUUUAAAAUUAAUUACUAGUUAGUUUUAUGAUUUAUUAUAAAUAAUAAGUAUAAAAUAAAUAAAUACGUUUCUUGCAUUGGAUUCUUUCUUUACAUAAAAAACAAAAAAAAUCUCUUUACACACUCACUCUCAAACGGUUAUAAAAAAAUCCAAAAAAAGAUCUAAGGAGAUCCUCUGAUGAUCUCACGCUCUCAACCACACUCAUAAAUCCCUACACUCUCCCUCUCUCAGAAAAAUCCUCACAAGAAAAAUCCAAAGAAUUUCCUCUCUCUUUCAACCAUAAAACCCUUCAUCCUCCGGCGAAACCCCAGCUCGUCACCAUCCUCCGCCAUCACUCCGAAACACCGCACACCAACUCCAUCGCUCUCUCUCCCUCCUCCUCGCAACCCAUCCAAGACCCCAUCCUCCGCCAUCAACCUUCAUGCCACCACCUUCAAUCACCUGAAAACACUACCAAACCCUAAAUCGCCGCCGCCGUUCACUCCUUAACCUUCGAUAUCAGCUCCUUAAACCACCAACCGAAACCCUCUUCAACAACUACCAGAAAUGCUUCUUCUUCCGUCACAAAACCCAUCUUCAAAACCCUAAACCACCGUCAACUCUCCGUCUUCCUCAAAACUAACUCGAUUCCGACCAUCAAAACCACCACAAAACCCUCCUUCAUCAUCUUUCAUCACCGUUGCUCAUUCUGUCCCAUUCCAUCAACAAUGAACUCGCCGUUCAUAUUUGGAUGACUUGGCUUACCCAGAGAUGAAUGGAUUAUUAUCAUUUGUUUGCAACGAUUUCCGUUCAUUAUUUCAGAUCCAAGUUUAACAGUGUUGAUUAAACUCAAGGAGCAGUGAAAGCAUUGGCGAGAAUCAAAAGCGGACGCGUCUUUACAUCCAAGAAGCUGUGUGUACGGAGAGCAUCACCGGAAGCGACACAACGUCAUUUUAAGAAACCCAGCAAGCUGUAUCGGUGGGUUUCACAUACCUUGUUCCCUCUCAUCAUACUAUAUGUUGUGGUUCUGUUUUGCUUGUUUACAGCAUUUCGUUUUUUAGUUAAACCAUUGAGGCAUUGCGUGUAGUGAUUGCUGGUUGUUGUUAUGUUUAGUAGUUUGAAGGUUUUUACUGACAGGCUUAUUCCAAAUUUUUGGGUUAAUUAGUUUUUGUUCAAGUUAAAUAGAAAAAACAGGAAAUAUUAAUCCCGACUUUAUGAUUGCUGCUGACAACCAUUGGUUCAUGAUUUUAUGUUUACGAUUGCUGAAUUUAUUGAUUCAAAUCUGGAUUGAAUUGUAUUGUUGUUAAUGUAGCCGGUUAUGCUGUGAAUGAGUUUUGUAAGAAAAGAUUGAUUUGCUGUUUAACUCUUUCUUUAAUUUCAUGGCAUUUUAAAUUCGGCAAAGUGAUUAUGUUAGCAAGAAUGUAAUAUUUCGGUUGUGUUUAGAUGGAUUUAGGUUGCUUUACUAUGAACAUUUCAUUCUGAUUUUCAUUUCAGCAACAUUGAGCGGUUGUAAGAUCUUCUUUAAGACUGAUAGCAUAAUGUAGUUUGCAAAGUGUAAAUAAUCUGUUUGAUUCUCAAUUGGAUUUCAUUUCCGGAUUCGGCGAUUCUAUGUCGACAUGCCGCCAAAUUUUUAAUAUAUUAAUGGAAUAUUUCCACCGAGUUUUGAAUUUGCGAAUAAUAUCAAUCAUUGUUAUUACGCUCAAACCGGUACGAGCACAUCUUCCUCAACACAUACCAAUUAAAUCAAUCUCAUUAUCUUUUUUUUCUUUUUUUGGAUGUAAUUAAUUGAUUAAAACUUUUUGUUAGUUUAGUUGCGAUUAAUCAAUUUUAGUUAACUUAAUUAUUUAAUUUAAUUAAAUAAUUUUGAUAAUUAUUCUUAAUUAAUUCAAUUAACCAAUUUAAUCAAGUUUUAAUAAGUUAAUUUUGCUAAAAAAGAAUUGGAUUAAUUUCUCUCACUCUCACAACUUCACAUUAUUUUAAAUAAAUAAAAAAUAUUUCGUCAAUCAAUUCAAAAUCACUUCAAUUCAUUUCCAAAUCAAGUUCAUUUGAUUCAAAACCAAUUUCAAAAAACACAAAUCAUACAAUUCUCGAUUUAAAUAUCGAGCCCAUUUUAAAACACCCUUGUAAGUCGAUUGCUCUUCGCAUCGCCAUCAACCUCACAUAGCUUACUCUUGGGCUUUCUUACAAUGAAACCUACUUGGUAAUGAAAUAAUACACUAAAUAAAUUUCAUUUUCAUUCAUAAACACAAAUUCAAAUCAUUUUUCCAAACCAUUCAAUCUCAAAGGAAUUUUCUCUUUUAAACAUAAACUUGGGAUGAAAAGGAGAUAGGGAGCGUACGCUUCACUAUUUCUCAAGCACUUGAAUAAUUGGCGUACGCCAUAUUGCGCGAGUUCUUGUCACCCGAUUAAACCUUAACCAUAUACAUUUCAAAUCAUUUCUACAAAUUCCAAAUCCUUUUAAUUCCAUAUUUUGGAUGAAAAGGAGAAUAGUAAGCUUCCGCUUCACUAUCUCUCGACUAUUCGAAUAAUUGGCGUACGCCAUAUUGCUCGGGUUUUCGUCAUUCAAUUAAAACCCUAAAAAUCUAUAAUAUUAAAAUCACUCCUCCAAAUUAUUUAUUAAUUCUAAAAGCCUUAUUUUUAAUAAUUAAUCUUUAAAUGAAAAGGGGAAUAGUAAGCUUCCGCUUCACUAUCUCUCGACUAUUCGAAUAAUUGGCGUACGCCAUAUUGCUCGGAUUUUCGUCAUUCAAAUAAAACCCUAAUAAUCAUACAAAUUCAAAUCACUCUUCCAAAUUAAUAUAAUUCAUAAAACAUCCUUUUCAUUCCAUAUUUCAGAUGAAAAGAGGAUAGGAGGCGUACGCCUCACUAUCUUUCGAUUAUUCGAAUAAUUGGCGUACGCCACAUUGCUCGAAUCUUCGUCAUCAAGUCAAAACUACAAUCGAAUAAAUCCAAGCCUACCAAAGUUCAAAUUAUUUUUGCAAAUCGAAUACGAUAUCCAAACAUAUCUUUUACAAUUUAAACUUCGGAUGAUAAAAGAUGAGAGGUGUACGCCUCGCCAUCUUUCGAUUAUUUGAAUAAUUGGCGAACGCCAUAUUGCACAAAUUAUCGACUUCCGACUAAAACACGCUAAAUAAACUUGGAUAAAGGAAUAAGUGGCGUAUGCCUCAUUAUUCUUUGAAUAAGCAAGUGGGAGGCGUACGCCUCACUACCGUGCACAUUCAACAUCCACAAACAAACUUUCAAAAUAAUCUGAAUGAAAAAGGAAUAGAAGGCGGACGCCUUAUUACUCCUCGAAAGAAUUGGACGAUUGGUGAACACCACAUUGCUCAACCUUUCGUCGUACUCCAAAAACAUCUCAAACAAAUCAAUCCUAACUUCUUGCCCCCGAGCGAUUGAAACCAAACAAAACACCCAAACACAUCAAUUCAACUCGUCACCCCCGUGUGACCAAAACCCUUUUCAAAAGAACACUGUCAAUCCUUUCUAAUGCGCACAACAAACCAGUGCUUAAGCCUCCGCCGAGAGUAGACAAGCCAGCGUNUACCCUUGUUCCCUCUCAUCACUACUUAUGUUGUGGGUCUGUUUGCUUGUUUACAGCAUUUCGUUUUUUAGUUAAACCAUUGAGGCAUUGCGUGUAGUGAUUGCUGGUUGUUGUUAUGUUUAGUUAGUUUGAAGGUUUUUACUGACAGGCUUAUUCCAAAUUUUUGGGUUAAUUAGUUUUUGUUCAAGUUAAAUAGAAAAAAAGGAAAUAUUAAUCCCGACUUUAUGAUUGCUGC
rnacentral:lncRNA from 1 species